GGGGAACGGGGGAUAGCACUGCAUACUGGAACAGUUCUACAGGCUGGCCGGGGAUAGUCGACCUUCCCAUCUAUGUCGAUCAUCAGCAGUACUGCGACGUCAAGCCUGUGGAGCAAGGCGUGCCAGACUUCUACUCCAGAGCUCCUCCUCGCUGCACAUCUCUAACGUGAAAGUCGACGACACACACACACUCACACACAACACACACAUCUUAGAAGUUCCAUCGAUCAACAAAUUUACGACAUCACUAGUACAAGAAGAAGUUCCUCCGCUCCGCCCUUACGAAGUCUCGAGAAUUCUUUUUCCUCUCCAGCUAGCAGCAGGGGCCAUAAGAUCCAACGCCACACUCAUUGAGUCAUCAUCAUCAUCAUCCACACCGCGAGACGACGUCGACGAUUUUAUAAGUACCGCGCGAAGUUUUUUUUCCCGCGAGCGAUCAUCGAGAGGAUCCGGAUCCCUUUUACUUAUACACUUACAACAAGAACAACAAGACAACCAACGCACACUCUCACAGCUCAUACACUACGACCGACGAUCGAUAUAACGAACGCGACGUGCGACUUCUUAACAGCCAGCCGCUGCUGCUUCCAGGGACUCCGAUUUCCAUAUGGUCGCAGACUCGUGCCUCGAUUUUCAUCCUUGCCCACCGUAGGUAGCGCAGCAGAUACGAACGCGGUAGUUUUACAGGAGUAAAAAGAAAAACGAAAAAAAUGGCGGUGGAAUCGCACAAAACGGAGGAGUUUUAAGAGCACUCCCGAUCAAAGUCACAAGCGAUCCAAGCAAAGUAGCAACAAAAGUGGUAAUUCUUUCGUUCUUUCCUCCCUCUCUUUGAUGUUCUUUCUUUUUCCUCCAUUUGAUUUGUAAUGAACAUAUUGCUUUUGUACACGA